rnacentral:rRNA from 1 species
ACCCGCUGAACUUAAGCAUAUCAAUAAGCGGAGGAAAAGAAACCAACAGGGAUUGCCCUAGUAACGGCGAGUGAAGCGGCAACAGCUCAAAUUUGAAAUCUGGCGUCUUUGGCGUCCGAGUUGUAAUUUGCAGAGGGCGCUUUGGCAUUGGCAGCGGUCCAAGUUCCUUGGAACAGGACGUCACAGAGGGUGAGAAUCCCGUACGUGGUCGCUAGCCUUUACCGUGUAAAGCCCCUUCGACGAGUCGAGUUGUUUGGGAAUGCAGCUCUAAAUGGGAGGUAAAUUUCUUCUAAAGCUAAAUACUGGCCAGAGACCGAUAGCGCACAAGUAGAGUGAUCGAAAGAUGAAAAGCACUUUGGAAAGAGAGUUAAAAAGCACGUGAAAUUGUUGAAAGGGAAGCGCUUGCAGCCAGACUUGCCUGUAGUUGCUCAUCCGGGUUUUUACCCGGUGCACUCUUCUAUAGGCAGGCCAGCAUCAGUUUGGGCGGUUGGAUAAAGGUCUCUGUCACGUACCUCCUCUCGGGGAGAACUUAUAGGGGAGACGUAAUGCAACCAGCCUGGACUGAGGUCCGCGCAUCUGCUAGGAUGCUGGCGUAAUGGCUGUAAGCGGCCCGUCUUGAAACACGGACCAAGGAGUCUAACAUCUAUGCGAGUGUUUGGGUGUCAAGCCCGAGCGCGUAAUGAAAGUGAAUGGAGGUGGGAACCUUUCGGGGUGCACCAUCGACCGAUCCCGAUGUCUUCGGAUGGAUUUGAGUAAGAGCAUAGCUGUUGGGACCCGAAAGAUGGUGAACUAUGCUUGAAUAGGGUGAAGCCAGAGGAAACUCUGGUGGAGGCUCGCAGCGGUUCUGACGUGCAAAUCGAUCGUCAAAUUUGGGCAUAGGGGCGAAAGACUAAUCGAACUAUCUAGUA